rnacentral:rRNA from 1 species
CCCUUAGAUGUUCGGGGCCGCACGCGCGCUACACUGAAUGAAUCAGCGAGUGUAUGUCCUAGGCCGAAAGGUCCGGGUAACCCGUUGAACCUCAUUCGUGAUUGGGAUAGGGACUUGCAAUUGUUUCCCUUGAACGAGGAAUUCCCAGUAAGCGCAAGUCAUCAGCUUGCGUCGAUUACGUCCCUGCCCUUUGUACACACCGCCCGUCGCUCCUACCGAUUGGGUGUGCUGGUGAAAUGUUCGGAUCGGCCGUUUGUCGCGGUUUCCGCGUCAUGUGGCUGAGAAGUUCAUUAAACCCUCCCACCUAGAGGAAGGAGAAGUCGUAACA